rnacentral:rRNA from 1 species
AGCUACUAUCAAACACGGAAGCAGUUACUCAACCGUGCCUUACUCACUGAUGACAGGAGUUUACAACCCGAGGGCCGUCAUCCUCCACGCGGCGUCGCACCGUCAGGCUUUCGCCCAUUGCGAAUGAUUCUCG